rnacentral:tRNA from 1 species
GUCUUAUAGUCAAGAAUGAUAUUAAAUUGCAAAUUUAAAGGUAUUAGAAAUAUUUAAGGCUUA